AGAACGAACGCUGGCGGCAUGCCUAACACAUGCAAGUCGAACGCUUUUGGGGCUUCGGUCCCAAAGGAGUGGCGCACGGGUGAGUAGCGCGUGGGAACCUGCCCUGUUGUGGGGGAUAACCGAGGGAAACUUCGGCUAAUACCGCAUACGCCCGGGGGAAACUCCGGGGAAAGAUUUAUCGCAGCAGGAGGGGCCCGCGUCGGAUUAGGUAGUUGGUGGGGUAACGGCCCACCAAGCCUGUGAUCCGUAGCUGGUCUGAGAGGAUGAUCAGCCACACUGGGACUGAGACACGGCCCAGACUCCUACGGGAGGCAGCAGUGGGGAAUAUUGGACAAUGGGCGCAAGCCUGAUCCAGCAAUGCCGCGUGAGUGAUGAAGGCCUUCGGGUUGUAAAGCUCUUUCGCACGCGACGAUGAUGACGGUAGCGUGAGAAGAGCCCCGGCUAACUUCGUGCCAGCAGCCGC
rnacentral:rRNA from 1 species